rnacentral:rRNA from 1 species
AGAGCGAACGCUGGCGGCAGGCCUAACACAUGCAAGUCGAACGCCCAGCAAUGGGAGUGGCAGACGGGAUAGUAACACGUGGGAACGCGCCCUUCGGUUCGGAAUAACUCAGGGAAACUUGAGCUAAAUACCAGAUACGCCCUUACGGGGAAAGAUUUAUUGCCGAAGGAACGGCCCGCGUCGGAUUAGCUAGUUGGUGAGGUAAUGGCUCACCAAGGCGACGAUCCGUAGCUGGUCUGAGAGGAUGACCAGCAUCACUGGGACUGAGACACGGCCCAGACUCCUACGGGAGGCAGCAGUGGGGAAUAUUGGACAAUGGGCGCAAGCCUGAUCCAGCCAUGCCGCGUGGAUGAUGAGGCCCUAGGGUUGUAAAGUCCUUUAAGGGGAGAUAAUGACGGUACCGAGAAUAAGCCCGGCUAACUUCGCGCCAGCAGCCGC